rnacentral:rRNA from 1 species
GCCCAAGAGAUCGGGAUAACACCUGGAAACAGAUGCUAAUACCGGAUAACAACAGAUGAUGCCUAUCAACUGUUUAAAAGAUGGUUCUGCUAUCACUCUUGGAUGGACCUGCGGUGCAUUAGCUAGUUGGUAGGGUAGCGGCCUACCAAGGCGAUGAUGCAUAGCCUAGUUGAGAGACUGAUCGGCCACAUUGGGACUGAGACACGGCCCAAACUCCUACGGGAGGCAGCAGAA